rnacentral:rRNA from 1 species
GUGCCAGCCGCCGCGGUAAUACGUAGGGGGCGAGCGUUGUCCGGAUUUAUUGGGCGUAAAGAGCUCGUAGGCGGUUCAACAAGUCGGUCGUGAAAGUUCAGGGCUCAACCCUGAAAUGUCGAUCGAUACUGUUGUGACUAGGAUACGGUAGAGGUGAGUGGAAUUCCGAGUGUAGCGGUGAAAUGCGUAGAUACUCGGAGGAACACCAAUUGCGAAGGCAGCUCACUGGGCCGCUAUCGACGCUGAGAAGCGAAAGCUAGGGGAGCAAACAGGAUUAGAUG